rnacentral:rRNA from 1 species
CGGGGUGCAGCAGGCGCGAAAACUUUACAAUGCGGGAAACCGUGAUAAGGGGACACCGAGUGCCAGCAUCAUAUGCUGGCUGUCCAGGUGUGUAAAAUACACCUGUUAGCAAGGGCCGGGCAAGACCGGUGCCAGCCGCCGCGGUAACACCGGCGGCCCGAGUGGUGAUCGUGAUUAUUGGGUCUAAAGGGUCCGUAGCCGGUUUGGUCAGUCCUCCGGGAAAUCUGACGGCUCAACCGUUAGGCUUUCGGGGGAUACUGCCAGGCUUGGAACCGGGAGAGGUAAGAGGUACUACAGGGGUAGGAGUGAAAUCUUGUAAUCCCUGUGAGACCACCUGUGGCGAAGGCGUCUUACCAGAACGGGUUCGACGGUGAGGGACGAGAGCUGGGGGCACGAACCGGAUUAGAUACCCGGGUAGUCCCAGCCGUAAACGAUGCUCGCUAGGUGUCAGGCAUGGCGCGACCGUGUCUGGUGCCGCAGGGAAGCCGUGAAGCGAGCCACCUGGGAAGUACGGCCGCAAGGCUGAAACUUAAAGGAAUUGGCGGGGGAGCAC